CAGAAGGUGAGGACCGGUGCGGACAUGCCGCGUUUUCACAGUCGGAUGGAUGGACAGAGAGCUGCUCCUGGAAACGUCACCCCCGGUGGCCCUGUGAUGAUCGUCACGUGAACCUGACAACUUCGGAUGCUCAGGGUAAUGAGUCCACAGCACAAGACGUACAGCUCGGAAUCCUAGGAAGAGACUUGGAAUCUCACGGAAAGCAAUGGAGCGUGCGGCCUAAGCUGGAAAAGGGGCUGGCGAAAGGCUACGGCAUUCAGGAAUACCCAGGUGGAACUGUAUGUGAGGAAGACAGAAGGGAGGGCAUGCAGCAGGAGAGAUAGAAGGAGGGAUAGACAACAGGAUAUAAGAAAAGAAGGUAGAAAGAGGAUCAGCCUGAAGACUGCGAUUUGAAUUUGGAGAGUCUGCAUUUUGCUUGGAGGGGCUGGUUUGGUCUUUCAGGGGCCGACCUCAAAAUGUUACCCGCCCAGCCCCUUCAGAAUUUUCAACAACUAAAUAAAUUUCUAGUGAGCUUUCAGCAUCUUCUAAAUAAGGAAACAUGUUAAUUUAUUAUUUAGUGCAGUGACUGUUUGUGACCAACAGGGGGCCUGGUCUCUGUGAAACAUUUAAUUGGCGUCAACCUAUAAAGUCUGACGAAAAACCCUCCCCCCAUCACUUGCAUGGACCGUAUGUGUUGGCCAUUACCAGAGAGCGGGGGCCCAAAGUAAGUUUUUGUAUGGGGUGCCAGAAAUAACCCCCCCCCCCCCAGGAAACCACAGGUCAUACAGUGUGGCGAGUUGGAGCUCGCCCUGCUAGGAGACCUAGGAUGAGCUUUCAGACAGGUGUGGGGAGAGAGAAGGUGGGAGGGCUGGAAGAGGGGCAGCUAGAGGGGCCCACAUGUGGCAACUUGGCGGCAGAGUGUUCAGGUUCAGUGCCGUGCUCAGGAUCAGAGCCAGGUUGGUGCAGGUCCAGUGGGCCGUGACGGAAAUUCGUGGUGACCAGGAUGCUCCAGGGUGCUGGACAGAGAAGGCAGGAGGAGGGCUGAGGAGGACCCGUCACACAGCUGCGAGAAAGAGGAGCAUCAUGGGUAACAAUGGUCCAUGGCAGGCCACACACCUAACGCCGUACCGCUGACGAGGUGCUUCCAUGGUGUCCCAGAGACUGGGGGCUGGUCUCAGUCUGCGCGGGGGAGGGGGGGGGGCACCUGAACUGUCACUCUAAUUGAGCUCAGGAGAUAUUAAGCCCAAGGCCGAUUCCUUCCCUGGGAGCUCAGAAAUGAAACGGAAAAUGAAGAGCAUGGCCGGAGAGGGGCGCAGCUGAGUUACGGACCCCAAGGAGAGGGAGGAACACAUCCUAGAACCAGCCAACCAUCUCCAGAAUGGAAGCCUACAGUCUCAGAGAUCUACGUUUAAUCCUCCUUUCCGCCCUAAACGGGCCGGGAGCAGCUGACGGCUACAGUAGCCCAGUACAGUCCCACUGGCAGGUCUAACCCAACACUGUGCUGCCUCACCCUCUCGCCUCUUAUUUAACCAGGAGCUGCAUGCGAGUCGCCGGUUUCAGCGUGAUGCUGUCCUCCCCCAUCUUUCACUGGCGUUCAUAAGAUCAGAGAAGGUAUAUUUUGGUGUGGCUUUCCAGCCAAAAAGAGUCUCAAGCUAAUUAGGUUUAAUUAACUUUGCCAUCUAGAAACGUUCAAAGUUUCAUACCGUUCUCUGAGAGUCCCUAUGAAUAAAUGAUAAAUUAAACAGCGAAAUGCUAAUUCUCAGUCACAAAUAUGAUUCGUCUUAUUCUCGCUCAGAGUAAUUAAAUAUUAAUGGGCACAUUUGAAAUGAGGUCUAGACAUUUUAACUCAUCCUUUAUUUUAUAUCUCUGUGUUUCAUUUCUUAUACAAUCCACCCGUUUUUUUAAAUACACAUUAGCUUAACAAAAAUGAAGUUCUCGUUUGUGGAAUAUGUUCCUAUUUCGUAAAUAUUGUAACU